UUCUUCUUUCUUCUUUCUUCUUUCUUCUUUCUGUUGGGAAGGAUGGCGGGGGCUUGUGGUUAUUU
rnacentral:ribozyme from 1 species